rnacentral:rRNA from 1 species
UACGUAGGGCGCAAGCGUUGUCCGGAAUUAUUGGGCGUAAAGAGCUCGUAGGCGGUUUGUCGCGUCUGCUGUGAAAACUCGAGGCUCAACCUCGGGCUUGCAGUGGGUACGGGCAGACUAGAGUGCGGUAGGGGAGACUGGAAUUCCUGGUGUAGCGGUGGAAUGCGCAGAUAUCAGGAGGGACACCGAUGGCGAAGGCAGGUCUCUGGGCCGCAACUGACGCUGAGGAGCGAAAGCAUGGGGAGCGAACAGG